UUUUUGAGGAAAUUGCUGGCAGCACUGUUUAUAUAGAAAUUUCUGUAAAAUAAUUGCUCCUGAGCUUGUGUUUGUCAUAAAUGUUAGUUGUUACUGUAGAUGUUUCUUUCCUUAAAAGUUUCCCUAAACAUUCUUGCUUGUUUACAGGAAUUCCUAUAUGAACACUGUUGCCAGCAAUUUG
rnacentral:pre_miRNA from 1 species